UACAGAGGUCUCAAGCGUUGUUCGGAAUCACUGGGCGUAAAGGGUGCGUAGGCGGCGAGGAAAGUCAGAUGUGAAAUCCGAGGGCUCAACCCUCGAAUAGCAUCCGAUACUUCCCCGCUCGAGAUUUGUAGAGGAGUCUGGAACUCUCGGUGUAGCAGUGAAAUGCGUGGAUAUCGAGAAGAACGCUCGUAGCGAAGGCGAGGCUCUGGGCAAGUUCUGACGCUGAGGCACGAAGGCUAGGGGAGCAAACGGG
rnacentral:rRNA from 1 species